rnacentral:tRNA from 1 species
GCCGAGGUAGCUCAGGUGGUAGAGCAGUGGACUGAAAAUCCAUGUGUCGGCGGUUCGACUCCGCCCCUCGGCA